UACGGAGGGUGCAAGCGUUAUUCGGAAUUACUGGGCGUAAAGGGCGUGUAGGUGGUCUGAUAAGUCAGGUGUGAAAGCCCUUGGCUUAACCAAGGAAGUGCAUCUGAAACUAUCAGACUUGAGUACGGGAGGGGGAAGUGGAAUUCCUGGUGUAGAGGUGAAAUUCGUAGAUAUCAGGAGGAAUACCGGUGGCGAAGGCGACUUCCGGGACCGAUAAUGACUAUGAUACGCGAAAGCGUGGGGAGCAAACAGG
rnacentral:rRNA from 1 species